GGACUUAAGCAUAUCAAUAAGCGGAGGAAAAGAAACCAACAGGGAUUGCCCCAGUAACGGCGAGUGAAGCGGCAACAGCUCAAAUUUGAAAUCUGGCCCUUGGGUCCGAGUUGUAAUUUGUAGAGGAUGCUUUUGGCGAGGUGCCUUCCGAGUUCCCUGGAACGGGACGCCAUAGAGGGUGAGAGCCCCGUCUGGUCGGACACCGAGCCUCUGUAAAGCUCCUUCGACGAGUCGAGUAGUUUGGGAAUGCUGCUCAAAAUGGGAGGUAUAUGUCUUCUAAAGCUAAAUAUUGGCCAGAGACCGAUAGCGCACAAGUAGAGUGAUCGAAAGAUGAAAAGCACUUUGAAAAGAGGGUUAAAAAGUACGUGAAAUUGUUGAAAGGGAAGCGCCUAUGACCAGACUUGGGCCCGGUGAAUCAUCCAGCGUUCUCGCUGGUGCACUUUGCCGGGCACAGGCCAGCAUCAGUUUGGCGCGGGGGAAAAAGGCUUUGGGAAUGUGGCUCCCUCGGGAGUGUUAUAGCCCAUUGUGUAAUACCCUGCGCCGGACUGAGGUACGCGCAUUGCAAGGAUGCUGGCGUAAUGGUCAUCAGCGACCCGUCUUGAAACACGGGACCAAGGA
rnacentral:rRNA from 1 species